UACGUAGGGUGCAAGCGUUGUCCGGAAUUAUUGGGCGUAAAGAGCUCGUAGGCGGUUUGUCGCGUCUGCUGUGAAAACUCGGGGCUUAACCCCGGGCCUGCAGUGGGUACGGGCAGACUAGAGUGCGGUGGGGGAGACUGGAAUUCCUGGUGUAGCGGUGAAAUGCGCAGAUAUCAGGAGGAACACCGGUGGCGAAGGCGGGUCUCUGGGCCGUAACUGACGCUGAGGAGCGAAAGCGUGGGGAGCGAACAGG
rnacentral:rRNA from 1 species